rnacentral:rRNA from 1 species
CGGAGCAUUUUACGAGGUGCUGCAUGGUUGUCGUCAGCUCGUGCCGUGAGGUGUCGGGUUAAGUCCCAUAACGAGCGCAACCCCUACCUUUAGUUGCCAUCAGGUUAAGCUGGGGACUCUAAAGGAACUGCCUACGCAAGUAGUGAGGAAGGCGGGGAUGACGUCAAAUCAGCACGGCCCUUACGUCCAGGGCUACACACGUGCUACAAUGGCCGAUACAGAGGGCAGCUACCUGGUGACAGGAUGCAAAUCUCCAAAGUCGGUCUCAGUUCGGAUCGGAGUCUGCAACCCGACUCCGUGAAGUUGGAUUCGCUAGUAAUCGCGCAUCAGCCAUGGCGCGGUGAAUACGUUCCCGGGCCUU